rnacentral:lncRNA from 1 species
AUGUAUUCUAGCUUAAUUUUUCUUCAUGUUGUCAUAGCCAUUUUUUUGCCCUUUGAAUUUGCUUCCACAUUUUAGAAUCAACUUGACAGUUUCUAAAAAAUAUUUUUGAGAUUUGGAUUGAGAUGGUACUGAAUCUGUAGCUCUGCUGAGGAGAACUGGUAUUUUAAUAUGAUUGCAUCUUCCAAUCAACAUACAAGAGAGUCUCUCUCUGCUGCCCAGGCAAGAAUGUAAAGACAUAAUGAGACGUCACUGCAUCCUCAAACCCUUUGGCUCAUGUGAUCCUCCCACCUCAGCCUCCCAAGUAGCUGGGAUUACAGGAUCUUGGAUUCUCAAUUAAUAGCCACUUUGGUAAUGCUGAAUAUGAAUAAAAUCUCUGACCUCAACAACUGCUGAAAACUCUUCUCAGUAUUUUUGAGUUUUAGCAUGAAUUUAGCUUGAAUUCUCUGCUUUUCCAUCCACCCCUCUUACAACCUAUCGAAUAACUUGAGCAGAAACGUGUUGCAGAAGAUUAAACUCACCCUAGUGAGUGUUUCUCAUUUGUAGGCUAUUGGUCAUUCAAGUCCUAGCUCUCUUGGUUGAUCUCCUGUGCCUUCAAACAGGUCCCCCCACUCCCUCAGGAGAGAUGAUAAAAUUUUUCAUGUGGGAGGAUUGUUCUGCUGCGAACUAGUUCAUCAUAAUCUGAAUCAAACUUAACAAUUCAAGAUUUGAAAUAAGAAUAUUACUUCUGUGUCACCUACUACCUUUCUUGCCUCUAAAUCUGAGUUUUUACAUUUUUUACAUUUAUAAGGCUACA